rnacentral:tRNA from 1 species
UGCCGGGUCGUUCAAUGGUAGGACGCGAGUCUUUGAAGCUCAUCAUGAGCGUUCGAUUCGCUCCCCGGCAGCCA